CAGCAGCCGCGGUAAUACGUAGGUGGCAAGCGUUGUCCGGAAUUAUUGGGCGUAAAGGGCUCGCAGGCGGUUUCUUAAGUCUGAUGUGAAAGCCCCCGGCUCAACCGGGGAGGGUCAUUGGAAACUGGGAAACUUGAGUGCAGAAGAGGAGAGUGGAAUUCCACGUGUAGCGGUGAAAUGCGUAGAGACGUGGAGGAACACCAGUGGCGAAGGCGACUCUCUGGUCUGUAACUGACGCUGAGGAGCGAAAGCGUGGGGAGCGAACAGGAUUAGAUACCCCAGUAGUCCCUGUCUCUUAUAC
rnacentral:rRNA from 1 species